rnacentral:rRNA from 1 species
GACGAACGCUGGCGGCGUGCUUAACACAUGCAAGUCGAACGGAAAGGCCCUGCUUUUGUGGGGUUCCCGAGGGGCGAACGGGUGAGUAACACGUGAGUAACCUGCCCUUGACUUUGGGAUAACUUCAGGAAACUGGGGCUAAUACCGGAUAGGAGCUCCCGCGGCAUGGUGGGGGUUGGAAAGUUUCGGCGGGUGGGGAUGGACUCGCGGCUUAUCAGCUUGUUGGUGGGGGAGUGGCUUACCAAGGCAUUGACGGGUAGCCGGCCUGAGAGGGUGACCGGCCACAUUGGGACUGAGAUACGGCCCAGACUCCUACGGGAGGCAGCAGUGGGGAAUAUUGCACAAUGGGCGGAAGCCUGAUGCAGCAACGCCGCGUGCGGGAUGACGGCCUUCGGGUUGUAAACCGCUUUCGCCUGUGACGAAGCGUGAGUGACGGUAAUGGGUAAAGAAGCACCGGCUAACUACGUG